rnacentral:rRNA from 1 species
AUUGAACGAUGGCGGCAGGCUUAACACAUGCAAGUCGAACGAGCGGCGGACGGGUGAGUCAUGCCUGGGAAUCUACGUUAUGGAGGGGUAUAAUUACUGGAAACUGUAGCUAAUAUGGCGUACCAUAGGAUGAGCCCAAGUGGGACUAGGUUGUUGGUGAGGUAAAGGCUCACCAAGCCGACGAUCUCUAGCUGGUCUGAGAGGAUGACCAGCGACACUGGGACUGAGACACGGCCCAGACUCCUACGGUAGGCACCAGUGGGGAAGAUUGCGAAAUGGGGGAAAACUGACGCCGCCAUGCCGCGUGAAUGAAGAAGGCCAUCGGGUUGUAAAGUUCUUUCGGGAGCGAGGCGUUAACUACAGAAGAAGCACCGGCUAACUCCGUGCCAGCAGCCGCGGUAAUUC